CCUACGGGGUGCAGCAGUGGGGAAUAUUGGACAAUGGGCGAAAGCCUGAUCCAGCAAUGCCGCGUGUGUGAAGAAGGCCUUCGGGUUGUAAAGCACUUUCAGUGGGGAAGAAAGCCUUGGGGCUAAUACCCUCGAGAAAGGACAUCACCCACAGAAGAAGCACCGGCUAACUCCGUGCCAGCAGCCGCGGUAAUACGGAGGGUGCGAGCGUUAAUCGGAAUUACUGGGCGUAAAGCGCGCGUAGGCGGUCUGAUAAGCCGGUUGUGAAAGCCCCGGGCUCAACCUGGGAACGGCAUCCGGAACUGUCAGGCUAGAGUGCAGGAGAGGAAGGUAGAAUUCCCGGUGUAGCGGUGAAAUGCGUAGAGAUCGGGAGGAAUACCAGUGGCGAAGGCGGCCUUCUGGACUGACACUGACGCUGAGGUGCGAAAGCGUGGGUAGCAAACAGGAUUAGAUACCCUUGUAGUC
rnacentral:rRNA from 1 species